rnacentral:lncRNA from 1 species
CCUCACUUUAUAAUUAAUAUCUCAAAAUAAUGUGUUGUUCUUUGUACAAUGAAUAAGGUCAUGUAUGGGCAGACUCAAAAUAAAUACUAAUCGAAACCUCGAUUCUAUAAACAAAUCCAAAUAAACUAGGAAACUAUAAACUGAAUACUGCAAAAUAAUGAAAAUUCCUUUAAACCAUCUGAAAUAGGGGGAAAAACACUAAAACAGACAGUGGAAUUUGACACUAAUAAUUUGUCAAUGUCAUUUAAUAAAAAUUUGAAGAAUCGAAAAACACUCUUGGAUUGUACUUAUGGACAAAAAUUCGAUAAUUGAGUUGAAAGUUUUAUACAUGCUUCUUAUUUUCCUUUAACUUGAAUAAACUACACUAACGUUGGCUCUUUUUUUACACCUAUCUUGAAACUUUGUGUCUUGCUUGUUGCACUUGAACUCUUGGCCCACUUAGCUUAGAUGAAUCCUUGCAUGGCUCCUUGAUCUUCUUUACUCUUGACCUCGUUAUCGAUCCCUCUAGAUAAUACAAUGAACUUUGCGGGCUUGUCUUUCAUGAUUAUCAUAAUUCACUUCAUCUUCAAAAGGAUUGGACCUCAAAUCUUAACCUGCAUCAAAGAGAAACAGAGAUUAGCAACAUUAGAAGUAGCAAACACAUUAUACUCACCGAAAGGUCUAGCUAGUAGGCAUUGUCAUUAAUUUUCUCAAGUACUUGAAUGGUCCAUCUCCUCUAGAAUGCAAUUUAGAACUUCAUUGUGCUGGAAAACCUUCUUUCUAUAUGUGUACCCCAACCCAUUCAUCUAGUUCAAAUGUCACACAUCU